rnacentral:rRNA from 1 species
CUCAUGGUUUCACGGUAUUGCAAUGAGAACAAUUUAAAACCCUUAGCGAGAAUCAAGUGGAGGACAAGUCUGGUGCCAGCACCCGCGGUAAUUCCAGCUCCACUAGCGUAUAUUAAAGUUGUUGCAGUUAAAAAGCUCGUAGUUGAACCUCUGUCUGGGGCUAGUUUUGGCUUUGGUCAGGCUAGUUCUAGGCAUCCGCCUACAAGACUUAGAGGGCAUUCAGUUGUUCACUAGGAGGAGUAGGCAUUUUACUUUGAAAAAAAUUAGAGUGUUUAAGGCAGGCAAUCGCCCGUAUAUAUUAGCAUGGAAUAAUAGAAUAGGACACUUUUCCAUUUCGUUGGUUAUUGGAAUCGUGUAAUGAUUAAUAGGGACAGUUGUGGGCAUUUGUAUUUAAUUGUCAGAGGUGAAAUUCUUGGAUUUAUUAAAGACAAACUAACGCGAAAGCAUUUGCCAAGGAUGUUUUCAUUAAUCAAGAACGAAAGUUAGGGGAUCAAAGACGAUCAGAUACCGUCCUAGUCUUAACUAUAAACUAUUCCGACUCAAUGUUUGACUGGCUUAUAUAACCAGUUGAGCGUUGUAUGAGAAAUCAAAGUCUUUAGGUUCUGGGGGGAGUAUGGUUGCAAAGCUGAAACUUAAAGGAAUUGACGGAAGAGCACAACCAGGAGUGGAUUCUGCGGCUUAAUUUGACUCAACACGGGGAAACUUACCAGGUUAAAACAAUAGUGGGAUUGACAGUUUGAGAGCGCUUUCUUGAUUGUUGGGUGGUGGUGCAUGGCCGUUCUUAGUUGGUGGAGUGAUUUGUCUGCUUAAUUGCGUUAACGAACGAGACCUUAACCUGCUUACUAGACUGGCGAUCAUCAAUCGUUAGCUUUUCUUAGAGGGACUUUGGUUGUUUUAACUCCAAGGAAGUUUGAGGCAAUAACAGAUCUGUGAUGCCCUUAGAUAUCCUGGGCCGCACGCGUCAUACAAUGACUAGUUCAGAAAGUUUUCUCCUGACCCGAAAGGGGAUGGGUAAUCUUGAUAAUACUAGUCGUGUUAGGGAUCGAUCUUUGCAAUUAUAGAUCUUGAACGAGGAAUUCCUAGUAAGUGCGGUUCAUCAGACCGUACUGAUUACGUCCCUGCUCUUUGUACACACCGCCCGUCGCUUCUACCGAGUGGGUGGUCCGGUGAGAUAAUUGAACUUCGCAGGUAACUGAGAGGAAAGAUUAUCAAACCUAUCCACCU